rfam:Triticum aestivum genome assembly, contig: Triticum_aestivum_CS42_TGACv1_scaffold_576856_7BL
UGUGUACUCCCUCCGUUCCAAAAUACUUGACUUCCAUUUGUCCAAAAAUGGAUGUACCUAUAUACUAAAACAUGUCUAGAUACAUAUAUAUUUUGACAAAUAGAAGGCAUGUAUUGUGUAACAGAGGGAGUAGAAU